CCUACGGGUGGCUGCAGUGAGGAAUAUUGGUCAAUGGGCGCGAGCCUGAACCAGCCAAGUAGCGUGAAGGAUGACUGCCCUACGGGUUGUAAACUUCUUUUAUAAAGGAAUAAAGUGAGGCACGUGUGCCUUUUUGUAUGUACUUUAUGAAUAAGCAUCGGCUAACUCCGUGCCAGCAGCCGCGGUAAUACGGAGGAUCCGAGCGUUAUCCGGAUUUAUUGGGUUUAAAGGGUGCGUAGACGGGUUAUAAAGUCAGUGGUAAAAUCGUGCAGCUCAACCGAAUACAGACGUUGAAACUGGUGAUCUUGAGUGGGGUAGAAGUAUGCGGAAGGCGUGGUGUAGCGGUGAAAUGCAUAGAUAUCACGAAGAACUCCGAUUGCGAAGGCAGCAUACCAGAGUGCGACUGACGCUGAAGCUCGAAAGUGUGGGUAUCGAACAGGAUUAGAUACCCCUGUAGUC
rnacentral:rRNA from 1 species